GUAAGUUAUGUGCUCUUCAACGAAGGGAAUUCCUAUAAGCGCAAGUCAUCAGCUUGCGUUGAUUACGUCCCUGCCCUUUGUACACACCGCCCGUCGCUACUACCGAUUGAAUGGCUUAGUGAGGCUUCCGGAUUGGUUUAGAGAAGGGGGCAACUCCAUCUUGGGAACCGAGAAGCUAGUCAAACUUGGUCAUUUAGAGGAAGUAAAAGUCGUAAACAAGGUUUCCGUAGGUGAACCUGCGGAAGGAUCAUUA
rnacentral:rRNA from 1 species